GGGUCAGUAGGUUGGUCGUGCCACCGGUACGUACUGGUCUCACUGAUUCCUCCUUCCUGAAGAACCGUAAUGCCAUUAAUUUGGUGUUGCGGGGAAACAGGACUGUUACUUUGAAAAAAUUAGAGUGUUUAAAACAAGCUAACGCUUGAAUACAUUAGCAUGGAAUAAUGAAAUAGGACGAUCGAUCCUAUUUUGUUGGCUUCUAGGAUUGACGUA
rnacentral:rRNA from 1 species